GGUGGGUUGGCUCAGUGGUUAGAGCGUAGGUCUCGCAAUCGAAAGGUCGCGGGAUCGAAUCCCGCUAGAGGCUG
rnacentral:tRNA from 1 species